GACAGAGGGUGCAAACGUUGUUCGGAAUUACUGGGCAUAAAGCGCACGUAGGUGGUCCGCUAAGUCAAGUGUGAAAUCCCCCGGCUCAACCGGGGAAUUGCGCUCGAUACUGGCGGGCUAGAGGUCGGUAGGGGUGAGUGGAACUCCAGGUGGAGCGGUGAAAUGCGUAGAUAUCUGGAGGAACACCGGUGGCGAAAGCGGCUCACUGGACCGAAUCUGACACUGAGGUGCGAAAGCUAGGGUAGCAAACGGG
rnacentral:rRNA from 1 species